rnacentral:rRNA from 1 species
GAUGAACGCUGGCGGCGUGCUUAACACAUGCAAGUCGAACGGAAAGGCCCAAGCUUGCUUGGGUACUCGAGUGGCGAACGGGUGAGUAACACGUGGGUGAUCUGCCCUGCACUUCGGGAUAAGCCUGGGAAACUGGGUCUAAUACCGGAUAGGACCACAUUUUGGAUGGUGUGGUGGAAAGUUUUUCGGUGUGGGAUGAGCUCGCGGCCUAUCAGCUUGUUGGUGGGGUAAUGGCCUACCAAGGCGUCGACGGGUAGCCGGCCUGAGAGGGUGUACGGCCACAUUGGGGCUGAGAUACGGCCCAGAGUCCUACGGGAGGGAGCAGUGGGGAAUAUUGCACAAUGGGCGCAAGCCUGAUGCAGCGACGCCGCGUGGGGGAUGACGGCCUUCGGGUUGUAAACUCCUUUCGCUAGGGACGAAGCGUUUUUGUGACGGUACCUGGAGAAGAAGCACCGGCUAACUACGUG